AACGAACGCUGGCGGCAUGCCUAACACAUGCAAGUCGAACGAGACCUUCGGGUCUAGUGGCGCACGGGUGCGUAACGCGUGGGAACCUGCCCUUAGGUUCGGAAUAACUCCCCGAAAGGGGUGCUAAUACCGGAUAAUGUCUUCGGACCAAAGAUUUAUCGCCUUUGGAUGGGCCCGCGUUGGAUUAGCUAGUUGGUAGGGUAAAAGCCUACCAAGGCGACGAUCCAUAGCUGGUCUGAGAGGAUGAUCAGCCACACUGGGACUGAGACACGGCCCAGACUCCUACGGGAGGCAGCAGUGGGGAAUAUUGGACAAUGGGCGAAAGCCUGAUCCAGCAAUGCCGCGUGAGUGAUGAAGGCGUUAGGGUUGUAAAGCUCUUUUACCCGGGAUGAUAAUGACAGUACCGGGAGAAUAAGCUCCGGCUAACUCCGU
rnacentral:rRNA from 1 species